rnacentral:rRNA from 1 species
GAUGAACGCUAGCUACAGGCUUAACACAUGCAAGUCGAGGGGAAACGACAUCGAAAGCUUGCUUUUGAUGGGCGUCGACCGGCGCACGGGUGAGUAACGCGUAUCCAACCUGCCCACCACUUGGGGAUAACCUUGCGAAAGUAAGACUAAUACCCAAUGAUAUCCCACGAAGGCAUCCGAAUGGGAUUAAAGAUUUAUCGGUGAUGGAUGGGGAUGCGUCUGAUUAGCUUGUUGGCGGGGUAACGGCCCACCAAGGCAACGAUCGGUAGGGGUUCUGAGAGGAAGGUCCCCCACAUUGGAACUGAGACACGGUCCAAACUCCUACGGGAGGCAGCAGUGAGGAAUAUUGGUCAAUGGGCGAGAGCCUGAACCAGCCAAGUAGCGUGCAGGAUGACGGCCCUAUGGGUUGUAAACUGCUUUUAUAGGGGGAUAAAGUGUGCCACGUGUGGCAUAUUGCAGGUACCCUAUGAAUAAGGACCGGCUAAUUCCGUG